UUCCUUUUCACAAGGCCUUUAUAAGUUC
rnacentral:piRNA from 1 species